rnacentral:rRNA from 1 species
UAGGAUAGGUGGGAGGCUUUGAAGUGUGGACGCCAGUCUGCAUGGAGCCGACCUUGAAAUACCACCCUUUAAUGUUUGAUGUUCUAACGUGGACCCGUAAUCCGGGUUGCGGACAGUGUCUGGUGGGUAGUUUGACUGGGGCGGUCUCCUCCUAAAGAGUAACGGAGGAGCACGAAGGUUGGCUAAUCCUGGUCGGACAUCAGGAGGUUAGUGCAAUGGCAUAAGCCAGCUUGACUGCGAGCGUGACGGCGCGAGCAGGUGCGAAAGCAGGUCAUAGUGAUCCGGUGGUUCUGAAUGGAAGGGCCAUCGCUCAACGGAUAAAAGGUACUCCGGGGAUAACAGGCUGAUACCGCCCAAGAGUUCAUAUCGACGGCGGUGUUUGGCACCUCGAUGUCGGCUCAUCACAUCCUGGGGCUGAAGUAGGUCCCAAGGGUAUGGCUGUUCGCCAUUUAAAGUGGUACGCGAGCUGGGUUUAGAACGUCGUGAGACAGUUCGGUCCCUA